rnacentral:rRNA from 1 species
UACGAAGGGGACUAGCGUUGUUCGGAUUUACUGGGCGUAAAGCGCGCGUAGGCGGAUCACUAAGUCAGGGGUGAAAUCCCGAGGCUUAACCUCGGAACUGCCUUUGAUACUGAUGAUCUGGAGAUCGGGAGAGGUUGGUGGAAUUCCGAGUGUAGAGGUGAAAUUCGUAGAUAUUCGGAGGAACACCAGAAGCGAAGGCGGCCAACUGGCCCGAUACUGACGCUGAGGCGCGAAAGCGUGGGGAGCAAACAGG